CACUACAGUCCCAUGUAUUUCAUUAUUUGCUUGAACGUCAUCACUCUGAAACUGACCUGGAUAAUGGCUGGAUUUUCAGCCAUUCAUUUCCAAUCAAACGGAAAGUAACUGUACAUUCCUGAUUAUUAAUUGGAUUAUUCAGCUGACUAGUGUUGAGCUCUACUGACCUGUCGUCUGGUACAAAGUGGUAGACUAUUUUAGUGAAGACUUCAAUUAAUCUCCUGACUGUUUUGGAGGCACGACUUUUGAUUGGAAUUUGAUAAAGUUUUAAUUGACUCCACCACCACUCCACUCACACAACGAGGUUAUUAUACUUGACUUGGAUGAGAAUCUACAAGCUUGGUUUGGUGAUAAGUUGCAGCAGAUCUCAUCAAUAGUGUACAAUGACUUGACAGCUGUUGGAAGGGAGAUCAUUCAACUUAUUCAAGCCCAAGAAGAGGUGCAGGAGUUUCACACUGGGGUCGAAUCUUCAGGUUCAAUAGUUCUUAGUAGAGACCAAGAAGUUCCUUCAUCAGGGGGCCUGUUUCAUAAAGUCUAACAACUAUAUAUUGUAACUUUGUCAUUAUUGUAACUACACCAUGGAAACCUUUAUUGUGAUUGGCUGCUAUAAGCCCCAUUACCAUGGUUGUUGCCAUAAUGGCAAAGUUACAAAAGUUGUAACUCUUCAUGAAAUGGGCCCUGGCCUGGACUAUCAAUAUCAAAGAAGAAGUACUCAUCACAAUCCUGACUGUUGCAGAUGUGUCUCGUGCCUGAGAGAUCAUCGAUAAGACAUGAGGAGAUCCGAUCCUGUUAUUUCCAGAUCAUGGCAGACCUCUUCUGUCUGAAGCAAAGUAUCGGUACCUAUGGACUGACUGGGCUUGUCUAUCUACUUUGCUUCAUGAUGCUCAAAGCACUACACCACUCUUAACCAUCAUUGAUAAGGGUGUCUCAAGGGACAAGGCUUGGCUGGAGAUGAAUGGUGCUCUGAUGAAUCCACUCAAUCCAGUGAAAGGA